GCCCAGUGUUCAGAGAUCCUGAGACCUCAUCAUCUGAGCCGAUCACCAUGUUCUUUGAGAAAGCAGUUUGCCUCCUUGCCACCCUCGCUAUGCUUGUCACAAUGGCUGUGGCACAUCCAGAUUACCCUGAUUCUGCAAAUGGAAGAAGACAUUGAGAUGAUAUGAUCCGCAUCCACUGAAGCCUGUAACCACUACAGACAUUGUGUGAUCCAUUAAAAUAAAACAGUCAUGCAUAUCUA